CGAAGCGUGCGAUUGGAUUGCACGUCUAAGCAGUAAGGCUGAGUAUUAGGCAAAUCCGGUACUCGUUAAGGCUGAGCUGUGAUGGGGAGAAGACAUUGUGUCUUCGAGUCGUUGAUUUCACACUGCCGAGAAAAGCCUCUAGAUAGAAAAUAGGUGCCCGUACCGCAAACCGACACAGGUAGUCAAGAUGAGAAUUCUAAGGUGAGCGAGCGAACUCUCGUUAAGGAACUCGGCAAAAUGACCCCGUAACUUCGGGAGAAGGGGUGCUCUUUAGGGUUAACGCCCAGAAGAGCCGCAGUGAAUAGGCCCAAGCGACUGUUUAUCAAAAACACAGGUCUCUGCUAAACCGUAAGGUGAUGUAUAGGGGCUGACGCCUGCCCGGUGCUGGAAGGUUAAGAGGAGUGGUUAGCUUCUGCGAAGCUACGAAUCGAAGCCCCAGUAAACGGCGGCCGUAACUAUAACGGUCCUAAGGUAGCGAAAUUCCUUGUCGGGUAAGUUCCGACCCGCACGAAAGGCGUAACGAUUUGGGCACUGUCUCAACGAGAGACUCGGUGAAAUCAUAGUACCUGUGAAGAUGCAGGUUACCCGCGACAGGACGGAAAGACCCCGUGGAGCUUUACUGUAGCCUGAUAUUGAAAUUCGGCACAGCUUGUACAGGAUAGGUAGGAGCCUUUGAAACGUGAGCGCUAGCUUACGUGGAGGCGCUGGUGGGAUACUACCCU
rnacentral:rRNA from 1 species